AACGAACGCUGGCGGCGUGCCUAAUACAUGCAAGUCGAGCGGACUGAUUAAGAGCUUGCUCUUAUGACGUUAGCGGCGGACGGGUGAGUAACACGUGGGCAACCUGCCCUGUAGAUCGGGAUAACACCGAGAAAUCGGUGCUAAUACCGGGUAAUAUCUGAGAUCACAUGAUCUUAGGUUAAAAGAUGGCUCCGGCUAUCACUACAGGAUGGGCCCGCGGCGCAUUAGCUAGUUGGUAAGGUAAUGGCUUACCAAGGCGACGAUGCGUAGCCGACCUGAGAGGGUGGUCGGCCACACUGGGACUGGGACACGGCCCAGACUCCGACGAGAGGCAGCAGUAGGGAAUCUUCCGCAAUGGACGAAAGUCUGACGGAGCAACGCCGCGUGAGUGAUGAAGGGUUUCGGCUCGUAAAGCUCUGUUGUUAGGGAAGAAACAGUACCGAACGAACUAGGUCGGUACCUUGACGGUACCUAACCAGAAAGCCACGCCUAACUACGUG
rnacentral:rRNA from 1 species